ACUUUUAAAACCCUACUAUCAAAAUGUCCGAUUGUUGUUUUGAAAAAAAAGAAAAAGAUUUUUCAUAGUAAUUCAUAAAGGAACAUGAAUCUUAAAGGCUGGAAUAGGAGUUUAAAGAGACACUACAGCUCAUUUUGCGCAAAAAUCAUGAAAUGACAAUUUUCCCAGCGCUUUCUCAAUUUUUGUUGCAUUGUUGAAAGUAUGAACUUUACGAAAAUAACACUUAUCUAAAGUUAAAAAUUAUCGUUUUAACGUAAAAAUUAAUACUUUUUGAUGGCCUAUACAAAAAAUAUCGAGUCUCCUCCUUUUAGUCUUCAGACGCAUGCGCAUAGACAGUAAACAGUGCAGCAUGUCGUCCAGUGAGAGAAAGUGUAGUUGAUAGAUCUAGCAUUUUGACAGAUUCUGUGAGAAAAGAGGUAAAAAUAGAAUGAGAUAAAACUCAUGCGUGAAAUAAAAUUUACCUAGGGAUCAGUAUGACCGUUGGAAAACAGAGAGCUCGGAGAAACGCAUGUAACUCAGUGGCGGAUCUAGGAUUUCCGAAGAGGGGUGUGAAAGUCAAAGAUUAGCCAAAGUAAUCGGCCAUUCGGGUGCAAAAUUUUGAUUUUCAUUCACAAUCUGUGGCGUAAAAAGGGAGGGGGAUACUGGCCCCCUAAAUCUGCCAUUGAGACUAGCUGCGAAGACACUACGUUUAAAACCCAAUGAAAGACCAGAGGAACUUUUCCAGAGACUCACAGCCUUUAUGGAGGAAAACCUUCUUAAGAAAAAUGGUAGCAUCAUACAUCACGGUAAAACAGGUGAUGAUGAUGAUGAUGAUGCGGUAACUCCAUCCUUAGAGAAUUUCAUAGUAUUGACAUGACUACGUCUGGUGCAUAGUGAGUUACCCCGGCGACGGAACAGAGCUGCGCAAUUGUACCUUGGCUUCUACAUGAAAUACUGUAGAUUCCUUAUUGUACACGAGUAUUUAAUGAAAGGCGAAGAUAACGAACAUUUAUUAAAGGACAUAUCUCAUGUUUUCAAAGUAUACAAUAUUACAUGCAUUU